CCUAAUGAUGACAAGCUGUCGCCCCAAGCGGAUUUCGAAAGCAUGAACGAGUCGACUAAAUUAGCCAAACACUGAAAAUUCUGAUC
rnacentral:snoRNA from 1 species